rnacentral:rRNA from 1 species
ACAUGCAAGUCGAACGGUAACAGGCCUUCGGGCGCUGACGAGUGGCGGACGGGUGAGUAACGCGUAGGAAUCUGCCUUAUAGGUGGGGACAACGGUACGGGGAAACCCACGCUAAUACCGCAUACCGACCCGUACGGGGGAAAGGAGGGGGAUCUUCGGACCUUUCGCUAUGAGAUGGGCCUGCGUUAGAUUAGCUAGUUGGUAGGGUAAAGGCCUACCAAGGCGACGAUCUAUAGCUGGUCUGAGAGGACGAUCAGCCACACUGGGACUGAGACACGGCCCAGACUCC